GCUAAUCCACUUUUCUUUUGUAUUCUACAUUUUUCUCAAAAUUAUGAACUCUCUUUUUCAUCAGUGUUUUCUAGUAGAGUUUUAUCAUGGAAAUGAAAAGAAGUUGGAAAUUAAUAUUUUAGAUUUAGAAGAUAAAUAAUGAUAUUGAUUGGUUUGAACGACGCUCCUGAUACAACUCAUCUACUCGUCCGUGUGUUACAUAGUAUGAUUGUGUUCAUGUACUAAAUUAAAAUGUACAGAGUGGUUACACAAUUUGAAACCUAUAGAAAAGAUGGCAUAAGAAAACAAUGUAAAUUGUAAUCAUUAAUGGAUAAUAAUUUCUUUUUGUCUUCUCGAAUCUAAAUAUGUGUCCGCUUACUUAGAAUUAUCAAUUAUGGCGAUGACGACUUAUGUGGUUGUCUGACACGUGGAUAGUUUUGUUUGCCUCUCUAACUGCCUAUUCUGGGUGUGCUAAUGACACGACCCACCCCGAAUUUCACCCUGAAACCCGGAGUAAGUCGUGCGGGGACCACCUCCAAGAAAAAUUUACCGAAAAGAUUGGUAAAACCUCCCUUGAAGAUGGACAACCCUAACCCGAAAAAAUCUCCAAUUCACACACUUACUACAGCACUUCCAAAAAUAUCACACAAUUAUCCAGCUAAAUAAAAGCAAAUAUUAUUCUUCAGCAAUUCUAAACAUAAAGUCAACCGACCGAGCACACCACCGGAAUAAUAUACAAUAAUCCCAAAGUAUUCAGAGCUACUAGACACUAGCGGAAGCAAGAAAACACUAGUAGGUUAAACAGGUAACCUACUGAUGAAAACUGGUGGAAAAGCGGGUAACUAUGCCUCGUCUCCUACUAGGUCCAACCUGAACUCUGCAGACUGGGCAAUUUAAAACGAAUGGUCCAGGGGAAAACAUGUGGAACAGUUAGAGUGAGUGAACAAAAAUAAAUUAAAUAAAAAUAUUUCUUUAUGCUUCCCCAAUUUAAUUUCCAAAUAAAAUAAUACUGCAUGCAAUCGCUCAAAAGCGCUCAACUCAAAAACUGGCAACUUCACAACCAGCACCGGCUAGUCUCCAAAACUUAAUAAAAUACAGCCUCUCAGGCUAAAUUAUAUAUAAACAUAUAUAAGUGUAUGUAUUUACACUCGUCAGACUCCUUGUAUCAAUUCUAAGAACAAAUUAGAAAAAUAGAAAUUCAUACAAGACUACUACGCUUGCGUCUAAUGCUCACGUCACACCAUAAUGGAAUUGUACCUCAGUAUGGCGGAAAAAAAGCAUGAGUGUAUAUAUGUGUGGACUCCCUAUAUGAAAACCUAAAUAAACCAAAUAAAAAAUAGUUUUCAUAUAGGGCUACUACGCUUGUGUCUAACACUCACGUCACACCAUAAUGGUAUUUUACCUCAUUAUGGCGGAUCAGCACGUAUGGCUAGCUAGCAUUUACAUAUACAUACUAUCAUCAUAAACAUCCAAUAAACAUAUCCACCGAAAAUCUCAUUUUCGGGAUCUCUCCAAAGGAGGAAAAUUGCCAAAUAUCCGAGAAAUAAAUAAAUCUCAGGAAAAGAAUUAAAUGAUCAACAGAUAAUUCAUCGCAUGCUUUUCAAUUAAAAUAAAGGUCCACUCACAAAUUAGGCCUAAGCUGGAUGAUGCUCCGAGGCUUCCUCUGCUCGAGCCUCCUCUCGUCCUGUUCCAAAUAUAUAAUUAAUUUCCCACAAAAAAUCCAAUAUUUAAACAAAAUAGGCAAAAUUAAACAUGAGCCUCCCACACACUCAUCAUCGCCCAAAUUCGCCAUUCUUAACUCAAUACGGCUCAAACUUCGCCGAACAUACCGGCAGCCGUAAAAACAACUUCCCACAGAAUACGACUUAAAUCCUACGGCCGGAUUCUACAUUAAUUAACCGCCAAAAUACCAAACUUCGGAAAAUCACAAACCUAUCCAAAACUCACUUCAAUAAACUCCCCUUAAUAUUCCACAUUUAAAAACAUAAAAAUCUCCCAACCGGCGACGGCGGCUCCGCCGGCAGCGGCGGCCGGAGGCCAAUUCUGGCGACCUCUAAAACCUAUGAAAUUUUGACAGAAUAAUCUCCUCAUCAUGCUCUACAACUUUCCUGACCAGCACAAACCCAAAAUCCAAGCCUUACUAGGGCAAUCGAACACAAACACCUAAAAGCCCUAUAAAUUUCAACUCCACAUUUCUCCUUACCUAGCUCAAGAGAGGGAGAGUCCUUUUAGGGCAAGGCUGCUGGGUUGGAGGGCUACAAAACCGUACCAAGCUUGCCCGGAUUGGUGGCCGGAGGAGGGAGUUCCGGCGAAAUGCUUCCCGGCGUCUCCGGCGGGAUUUCUCCUCUUCCGGCGGGUUAGAGGCUCGGGGGCUAGGCCGGGGAGGGAGAGGAGGUGGCGGGGCUCCGAACUGGGAUGGAGCGGCGGCAGCUGGUGGCUGGGAGCUUCCGGCGGAGAGAGAGCACGGGAGGGAGAAGGAAGAGAAAAGAGAGAAGAAGAGAAAGGGAGGAAAAUGGGUUGGGCCUCCCAACCGGUCCAACCUUAUAUCAACCCAACUCAAAAAUAAAACACCCCGAAAAAUAAUACCUGAAUAAAAAUUACCUUUUACUAGCUAAAAUUUACUAUUUUUACCGUCGUCGUAUUUUCCUCUUACGAAUAAUCAUCCGCACAUAAUCGUCCCUAAAACCCCUCUAGGGACCAAUUAAACUAUUAACUUAAUGACGGAGACGGUAAAAUUCUUAUUAUAAACCAGCUAGUAAAUAAGGUAAAAAUAUAAGAGUCGGGAUGUGACAGCUAAUUAUUCUUACUUGUGUAUUCGUCUACUCCAUGUGUUUGAG
rnacentral:lncRNA from 1 species